rnacentral:tRNA from 1 species
GCUCGGGUGGUGAAAUUGGCAGACACGCUAGACUUAGGAUCUAGUGCCGCACGGCAUGGGGGUUCGAGUCCCCCCUCGAGCACCA